CGAUAAACUGGUUCCCGCACCUUCAAACAAACGAGAGCGAAGCGACGUAACUCCAGGGUAACAGUAUUCAUUUACAACCUUUCAAGGACACUUUUCGUAACACCAUGGCUUCGAAGAUUCCUCGUCUCUUUAGUUUGGUUGUAAAACGCCAGUUCUCCACAACUUUGGCUAAGAGAGGAGACCAUGUAGAAUUGCCAGUUCAGUCCCUUAUUGGUAUGGCCAGAUUCAACGCAGGAAAAAGAUGGCAAAGAAAUUGGUUCACCUUCUGGUAUGUUUUAUUCUGGAUCUCUGCCUGUGAUUUACCUUUCUGGUUCCAGAGAAGAGCUGCAAUGUACCAGGGUUGAUUUAAGAAUGCAGAGUUUUAAUUGGAAGAGUCAAGACAGAACUUUAUAGAGAAUGAACAUGAUGAAUGGAACAUUUUAUUUUAAUGUUGACUUUGAUAGAUUGUAUAAAUAAUAAAACAAAAAAGUUGUAA